GGUGGGCAGCUGUGCUCGGCGGGACGCGUGUCUGCUGCCCCCUGGUGCUGGGCACUUGCUGUCACAGGCGGGCGCUUGGUUCCGGUGCUUGCUUUUCGCCCCUGCCUUUUUUUUUUUUUUGGAGGCAGAGUUUUGCUCUUGUCCCCCAGGCUGGAGUGCGGUGGCGCGAUCUCGGCUCACUGCACCCUCUGCCUCCCGGGUUCAAGUGAUCCUCCUGCCUCAGCCUCCGGAGUAGCAGGGAUUACAGGCACCCGCCACCAUGUUCAGCUAUUUUUUUAU
rnacentral:lncRNA from 10 species